UGUCUCCUCCACCCUCCUCCUAAGGUGGAUUAAGCCCGACCCAGCCGUUCGGGCUUUUUUUC
rnacentral:ncRNA from 1 species